rnacentral:tRNA from 2 species
CGGGGCGUAGCUCAGCCAGGUUUAGAGUACACGUCUGGGGGGCGUGGGGUCGGAAGUUCGAAUCUUCUCGCCCCGACAA